GGAUGUGAGGGCGAUCUGGCUGCGACAUCUGUCACCCCAUUGAUCGCCAGGGUUGAUUCGGCUGAUCUGGCUGGCUAGGCGGGUGUCCCCUUCCUCCCUCAACGAUCCAUGUGCGUCCCUCCCGAAGCUGCGCGCUCGGUCGAAGAGGACGACCACCCCCGAUAGAGGAGGACCGUUCCUCGGUCAAGGGUAUACGAGUAGCUGCGCUCCCCUGCUAGAACCUCCAAACAAGCUCUCAAAACUUAGGGAAAAAAAGAAUCUCUCAAAAGAUAAGAGACUUCUUCUGAUAGUAUGCUCUUACUGAAGA
rnacentral:snRNA from 1 species